GGGGAAUAUUGGACAAUGGGCGCAAGCCUGAUCCAGCCAUGCCGCGUGAGUGAUGAAGGCCCUAGGGUUGUAAAGCUCUUUCAACGGUGAAGAUAAUAACGGUAACCGUAGAAGAAGCCCCGGCUAACUUCGUGCCAGCAGCCGCGGUAAUACGAAGGGGGCUAGCGUUGUUCGGAAUUACUGGGCGUAAAGCGCACGUAGGCGGAUUGGUCAGUUAGGGGUGAAAUCCCAGGGCUCAACCCUGGAACUGCCUUUAAUACUGCCGGUCUAGAGUUCGAGAGAGGUGAGUGGAAUUCCGAGUGUAGAGGUGAAAUUCGUAGAUAUUCGGAGGAACACCAGUGGCGAAGGCGGCUCGCUGGCUCGAGACUGACGCUGAGGUGCGAAAGCGUGGGGAGCAAAC
rnacentral:rRNA from 1 species